GAUGAAGAACGUAGCGAAAUGCGAUAAGUAAUGUGAAUUACAGAAUUCAGUGAAUCAUCGAAUCUUUGAACGCACAUUGCGCCCGCCAGUAUUCUGGCGGGCAUGCCUGUUCGAGCGUCAUUUCAACCAUCAAGCCCCCGGCUUGUGUUGGGGACCUGCGGCUGCCGCAGGCCCUGAAAACCAGUGGCGGGCUCGCUAGUCACUCCGAGCGUAGUAAUACAUCUCGCUCAGGGCGUGCUGCGGGUUCCGGCCGUUAAAAGCCUUAUUUACCCAAGGUUGACCUCGGAUCAGGUAGGAAGACCCGCUGAACUUAAGCAUAUCAAUAAGCGGAGGA
rnacentral:misc_RNA from 1 species